rnacentral:rRNA from 1 species
GAUGAACGCUGGCGGCGUGCUUAACACAUGCAAGUCGAACGGAAAGGCUCCUGCUUGCAGGGGUACUCGAGUGGCGAACGGGUGAGUAACACGUGGGUGAUCUGCCCUGCACUUCGGGAUAAGCCUGGGAAACUGGGUCUAAUACCGGAUAGGACGAUGGUUUGGAUGCCAUUGUGGAAAGUUUUUUCGGUGUGGGAUGGGCUCGCGGCCUAUCAGCUUGUUGGUGGGGUAAUGGCCUACCAAGGCGUCGACGGGUAGCCGGCCUGAGAGGGUGUACAGCCACAUUGGGACGGAGAUACGGCCCAGACUCCUACGGGAGGCAGCAGUGGGGAAUAUUGCACAAUGGGCGCAAGCCUGAUGCAGCGACGCCGCGUGGGGGAUGACGGCCUUCGGGUUGUAAACUCCUUUCGCUAGGGACGAAGCGCAAGUGACGGUACCUGGAGAAGAAGCACCGGCUAACUACGUG